rnacentral:pre_miRNA from 1 species
AAAACACACAUUAAUUAUCCUUAGGGUCAUAGGAUAAACACAAAAACCCUACAAAAACAAGUUAGCACACCCUAAAAUGGUUUUAGUACGAUUACUAAUCUAUGACUCUAAUACCAAUUGAUGGAAAAAACAU